UGGGGAAUCUUCCGCAAUGGACGAAAGUCUGACGGAGCAACGCCGCGUGAGUGAAGACGGCCUUCGGGUUGUAAAGCUCUGUGAUCCGGGACGAAAGAGCCUGAGGUGAAUAGCCUAAGGCAGCGACGGUACCGGAAAAGCAAGCCACGGCUAACUACGUGCCAGCAGCCGCGGUAAUACGUAGGUGGCAAGAGUUGUCCGGAAUUAUUGGGCGUAAAGCGCGCGCAGGCGGCAUCCUAAGUCCAUCUUAAAAGUGCGGGGCUUAACCCCGUGAUGGGAUGGAAACUGGGAAGCUGGAGUAUCGGAGAGGAAGGUGGAAUUCCUAGUGUAGCGGUGAAAUGCGUAGAGAUUAGGAAGAACACCGGUGGCGAAGGCGACUUUCUGGGCGAAAACUGACGCUGAGGGGCGAAAGCGUGGGGAGCAAACAGG
rnacentral:rRNA from 1 species